CUGCAAUAGAUGCAGUUAGAGAAACCCACGUCGGUCCUGAGCUGAAAGAAGGGCAUUUUGUUCUGUUUUUGUGAAAAGUACACCUUAUUAUGUUAAGGACAUAACCAAUAAGGAACCCUGUGUGAAGCAAUGCCCUUCUUGGGUCCUUGAUGAAGUCAGUCAUGGAACUGAAAAAGGGGGUAGGAGACGACGAGCUGACCUGUGACUAGACACAGCAUCAAAGAAAAUCAAAGAACUGAUUGGCAGGGAAGAUGGAAAAUAGAGGGAGAAGCUCCCAAGUGCAAGCAGAACUCAGGCGGGGAGCGAAGUUUCCCUUCCAUUCUGACUCCCAAAGGCACAGCACCCACCGAAGCAAGCAGGUGUUCUGACAUUGAAAUGAGUGAAGAAGCAAUACCCUGAUACCGGGGACUACAGAGGACCAAGGAGGACAUCAAGAGGUGAGGUUACGGAUUACUUCCCCAACUGCUUCCGACGACCAAGGACGCGCUGCUCCCAAGCCCGGGAAUGAAGGAGUGACGGUGAAGGCAGAAGACACAAAGAGACAACCCAUCACCGCUGUCCUGUUGGAAACUGGUCACUGUGUGAAGCCCAAACCUAUGGGGAGCUAUCUUCAACCUGUGUGAGGAGUGACUGUCGACAUAAUAAUAUGCUCCAGGCUCAGAACUGCCUAUACCUGCCAUUGGUCAUUUCUUCAAGGAGGCCCAUUUCCAUUUAUUGGAGAAUGGUAACAGACACUCAAGGAUGGCUACCAAGUGUGUCUCCAGGAUGGGGAUUGAGCUACAGAGGAGGGCCUCUGAAAGCCAGAAGAAGAAAACAGGAAACAAACUAGGAACCUGCCACAGAGGGCCUCUGAAAGCCUCUGCCCUGCAGACUAUCAAAGCAGAUGCUGAGCCUGAUGGGCAACUGUUGGGCAGAAUGGAAUGGGAAGGGAGGGAGGGACUGGGAGGGAAUGAGGGAUCGGGACACGGCUGGGAUACAGAGUUAAUAAAAUGUAACUGAUAAAAAAAAUAAAAAAUAAAAUAUAAAAGAAGUGGGAAAUAGUAAGAGCUGGAGAGGACAGGAACUCCACAAGGAGAGCAACAGAACAAGAAAAUUUGAACACAGGGAACUUCCCAGAGACUCAUACUCCAACCAAGGACGAUUCAUGGAGAUAACCUAGAACCCCUGCACAGAUGUAGCCCAUGGCAGUUCAGUGUCCAAGUGGGUUACAUAGUAAUGGGAAUAGGGACUGCCUCUGACAUAAUCUGAUUGGCCUGCUCUUUGAUCACCUCCCUCUGGGGUGGAGCAGCCUUACCAGGCCACAGAAGAUGACAAUGCAGCCACUCUUGAUGAGAACUGAUAGACUAAGAUCAGAAAGAAGGAGAGGAGG